AAAAGUAGGCUCAAUCAGGCCAUGAACAGAGUUGAAGAAGGCUCGGGCAGAUGGUGAUACUCUCAAACCAGGUACGAGCAUGAUCCCUUUUCACCCCUACAGCUCUUGCAUGCCUUCAAAGCAUCUGAUCUUGGUCGUUGCAACCCUCCUUGUCCUUGAUGCGGACAAAAUUGAUAGGGUUGUCCUGAUUCCUUAUGUCUUAUUUUUCAUGUUCUACUUUGCCUUCAUGUGUGCUUCAAGCAGAUGGACUUUGAGAUCCCGCUCAAAAAUUGGGCUAAAAUGUGGUUAUAUUAUUAAAACUUCAAUCAAUUGUAAGACUGAGAAAUAUGUAGUUGGUCAAGCAGCCUCAGCUUAUAGUUGAGAGCGCCCAGGGCUGAUUGACAACUAUGUAGGUCAGUUUAACCUCGGUUAUGGAUGCUCGCACAUAAACUUUGCCCUGGGAAGACACCAUAGCAUGUACAAGGAUUAGGCUUGUUAUUUUUUCUACUGAAGACAGUAUUCAUGGUAGCAUGCAUUUUCAUUUUUUUUUGUAGGAGACCCCAACCCGGUAACCAAGACAUGGAAAAGUGGAGUGCGGCCGUAAAAAAUGCUCAUCAAAUUGCUGGCUCCAUGUUGCCUAUCCACUAUCAUCAUACUUGUCUGCAUCAGAGCGUCUCCGUUGAUGUUGAAUAUGAAACAGUUGCCACUGUCCCACCAGCAGCACCAAAGACGAGCCCAGCAGCAACAUGAUGGAGACCAGCAGUACUUCUUGAUCAGGUAUCUGAAUCAUUGGUCGUCAGUGUUUCCGCGGAAAGCAUGUAGAGGGAGAUGGUUCUGCCGAUAACCGGCACACUGAGGUAGGUGUAGGUCUGGACGCUGGUGCUGUCGGAGGCGCGCCGGUCGAGCUCAGCCAUCACUCAGUCGGGCAGUACUUUGAGCUGUCACAGAAAUAUCAUGAUCAUCUUUUAGCGAAUACAAAGGUGUUUAUAACUUCAUAAGCAAAGACAUGUAGUGUUGCUUGUAUAUUGAGAGAUACUACAGGAAUUGACACACUCAUGGCUUUUUUUCGCAUGUAACAGGCUAGGCGGGGCGGUCGAUUUGCAGCGGGGUGGAGUGAGGGAUAUCUCGUUUGGAAGAGCAGGUGGAGUACAAGGUCGUGCCGAGGUCCAAUCACUAGUAGAAAAAGGGUCAAAUGUGAGACACAUUAGUCCCGGUUUGUAACAGAACCGGCACUAAUAUGUCCAUUAGUGCCGGUUCCAACGGCUAGGCGAGAGGAGCUCUUUAGUACCGGUUCGUGGCAAACCUUUAGCACCGGUUCGUGCCACGAACCGGUACUAAAGAAAGUGGUGGCAGGAUGUUGUCAGAGUGGGGCCCUUCCAGCACCUUUAGUACCGGUUCGUGGCACGAACCGGUACUAAAGGUCGACGUACAUAAACCCUUCGUCCACCCGAGCCACUCUGUUCUUCCCCUUUCCCCUCUCUCUCUCCUCUGUUCUUCCCUUCUUCCUCUCGAGUUCAUCACAAAAUUUGCCCCAAAUUUGUCAAGAUUUGCAGGCCCCCAUCCAUUCAAAUGAUCACCAAGGUUAGCAACUUUGUCCUUUCAUCUCUCAUUGCUAGAUUUGCUCUUGCAUUGGUUUAUAUAGUGAUUAAAUGUGGGUUUUAGUAAUUUGGGAGGAAUUAUAUGUGGUAGUAUUUGAUUUAUAUGCAAUUUGAGGUCAAAAUAACACUUAGUUUGCAUAUGUAGGUGUGGUUUACUUAGUGCCUUCUAAAUAUCCGUCGUAACCACCGUCGAUCGCCCGCACCGUCUCG
rnacentral:lncRNA from 1 species